UGGCCCUCUUGAAGGAAAAUGCCGACCUGAAGGAGCGGGUGGAAAAACUAGAACUCGGACUCAUCCAGCUCUCUGGAGAGAGAGACAUGAUAAGAAAGUCCAUCAAACCAAAUGACCAUCAGACAGCAGUGGCCAAGACCCAGCACCAGAAGAAGAACAAUGUUAGCAUGCUGUCCGAGGCUGAGGAGGGGAUGAAGGUAUUUUGUCAUCUAUUUAAGAAAAAACUAAAAAGAAUGGAAAUCAUACGACAGUGACUUAAGUCUUUCUUCAAAGUGCAUGCAAGUCCUUUGCAGUACUUCAUUCAGCCAAGUAUUUGUUCUCUUCCUCAUUCAGUAGAAGGCAGCUUUCAAUUUGCUUAGAAGGCAACAUCAGAAGGUUAGCAUUCAUCAAAAACAUAGAAUUUUAUUUUCUUUUCAUAUUUGUGUAUGUUUAUUUUAGAUAACUGAAACUUCACAGAAUUUAACAACAAAUAAAGUUUAAAAAUUUAAUUCUGUACAUUAGCUCCGACUAUCUCUAUUUUACAAUCUAUAAGGCUCAUGCCAUAGUUCAGCACCAACAAGAUCCACACAAAACUGUUUAAGCAAUCUUCUUAGCCAUCCUGUGUGACAGUUUUUGUUUGUCGUGGUUGUUUUUAAGGUAAAAGUCCUACUUUCAGACCUUGAAGUGGAAUCCCUCUAGUCAGAGUACAAAACUUGGGUUGUACCUUCUUAUUUUCAUUAAACAGAUACAAAAAAAAAA